AAAAAAACAGAUCCGCUGCCCCAUAUUUUUCUCCCCAUCCCCUUUCCCUGCGUCCUCUCCAUUUUUUGCCGGCGAGAGCAGCAGCCGGCGACUCCUCCUGUUACUCUCUCCGCCUCCCUCUUCUCCUCUCUUCUCCCUAUCCCCAUAUCCUCUUCUUCUUUUUUUUCUUCGAGCAGCAGCAGCAACCGUGGACAGCAGCAGCAGCGCCAACAACCCCAACGCCCAGCAGCUUCAUCCGGCAGCAACAACUCGACGCCAGCCAGCAGCAGCAGCGCACGCAGCAGCAGCGCCUGUAGAGGCGCACGCCAGCAGCACCAGCGCACGCAGCAACAGCGCCUGUAGAGGCGCACGCCAGCAGCACCAGCGCACGCAGCAA
rnacentral:misc_RNA from 1 species